AGUGAACGCUGGCGGUAGGCCUAACACAUGCAAGUCGAACGGCAGCACAGUAAGAGCUUGCUCUUACGGGUGGCGAGUGGCGGACGGGUGAGGAAUACAUCGGAAUCUACUUUUUCGUGGGGGAUAACGUAGGGAAACUUACGCUAAUACCGCAUACGACCUACGGGUGAAAGCAGGGGAUCUUCGGACCUUGCGCGAUUGAAUGAGCCGAUGUCGGAUUAGCUAGUUGGCGGGGUAAAGGCCCACCAAGGCGACGAUCCGUAGCUGGUCUGAGAGGAUGAUCAGCCACACUGGAACUGAGACACGGUCCAGACUCCUACGGGAGGCAGCAGUGGGGAAUAUUGGAUAAUGGGGGCAAGCCUGAUCCAGCCAUACCGCGUGGGUGAAGAAGGCCUUCGGGUUGUAAAGCCCUUUUGUUGGGAAAGAAAAGCAGCAGGUUAAUACCCCGCUGUUCUGACGGUACCCAAAGAAUAAGCACCGGCUAACUUCGUG
rnacentral:rRNA from 1 species